AAGUCGUAACAAGGUUUCCGUAGGUGAACCUGCGGAAGGAUCAUUAAAAAUGAACCUCUACAACAAGAGGUAGCGUUCCGAUCCGAGAAAGGAACCACGUCGCAACCUUACCCGUACAGUGGCAGGCUUCGGGUUUCGAAAUUCGAACACGGGAGUCGCACAUGAUGCGUUCGCCUAGUGGCGGCCUGCCCCUUUCAACCACUGUUAUCAUAUACCCGACUGAACCUUCUUGCGAAUACCGCAACGUAAAUCGAAAUACAACUUUCAGCAACGGAUCUCUUGGUUCCC
rnacentral:misc_RNA from 1 species